rnacentral:lncRNA from 1 species
UGGUGCCUCGUAGGGGUAGUGCCACUCUACUCGUCAUCGCUUUGAGCCUCGUGGAUUAUCGUGGUAGGGCUACGUCACGAUCUCCAUCACUUGGUCCAAAUCCUUGAACAUAGGAAGUGUUGUUCAUCGUGGUUUCCAAAUUUCUUGUCAUUGUACUUUUCUUGUACGUUUAUUCAAAGAAUUUUUAUAAAAAAAAAAAUUCUAGGAAUAAGAACGUACGAAAAAUCUACGAAUGAACAAAAAAUGAGAAAUUUUGAAUGCGAGAGUCUUCUUCGAGCGUGUGAAUCAAACUUUUAAUGAAAGCACGAAUUGUUGGAAGUAUGCCCACAAAGCCACUCAUUUGAUGUAAUAGCUUUUGGAAUACUUAUUGUUUAAACUUUUAUAUGUUUAAUGAAAGGCAAAGCUUAUUGUUAAUCACUAUUUAUUGUAUCAUGUGUUUAAACAAUAAGGGAAUCCAAGGAAUGUAUUUGAUUUAAGAGAUAAGUGAUUUAAGUAAGUUAGAUUAUCGAGACCUUUCUCUUAUGUUCAUUCCUAAAACGUUCCUAGCCAUAGGAUUGCCAAUUAGGCAUUGAUAAUCCGCUAUGGUUAGUAUGUUAUGUCGACUCAAGCGUGAGUAUGACUAGUCUCAAGUCAUUUGGUAUUGGACACUAAGACAAACACAUAGGUGCUCGAAAGAGUAAUCGAGUACACUAAACUACGAUCAAAAGAGAGUUCAAACAUACAUGUCAUGUAAGAACUCGAUAGUUGCAAUAUGCAAAGUAGUCCUUUGACCUGAGGCAUCAUAGAUGUCUAAUGGUUAGGUCCUUGACCUUUGAUCAUGUCAGAGGCAUUCCAUUGGAGUGUCCACGGCAUUGUUAGGGUCAAGCUAUCUAGUCAUGUACGCAUAUGAAUGCACAACAAGGGAUCUCUAACCUUCCAUGGUGGAAGGAGAAUAAUCUAAGAUGUGAUUCGAGAGUCUUUGGCCAAAGCAUAUGAAUAUGACUUAGGAAGUUUGUUCCAAAUCUUAUUCAAAAGAAUCAUAUGGAGAUGUAUCACAUUGGAUAGUAGACAUGAAACAAACUAUCACUUAAACAAUGUGAUUAAGAGUAUUGUAUUAGAGAAGGACCGUAUUGCAUUAUAGUUGUAACUGGAUAGGUUCUCCAACCAAUUCUACUUAGCUUGGGUAACCAUGACAUGCUGCUAGGUGUCACUCAUGGUUUGUGGAAGCCCUGAUGAUUAGCAAACACUAAUUUUAAGGGAGAAUUGAAAUGUGGUUUCAAUUCACAAUCGAUCGUUAAGAGUAACAAUCGCCCACUACCUUGCUAGAUGGAACCUAAUCGAUCGUACACCGAGUAAGGAUGAAAGUGAAGAAAUUAAAUGAAAUGGAUAUGCAAUUAAAUGGUU